GUGCCAGCAGCCGCGGUAAUACAGAGGGUGCGAGCGUUGUCCGGAAUCACUGGGCGUAAAGGGCGCGUAGGCGGUGGCGUAAGCGUGCGGUGAAAGCUCGGGGCUCAACCCCGAGUCGGCCGUGCGAACUGGGCCACUGGAGCAGAUCAGAGGCAGGCGGAAUUCCGGGUGUAGCGGUGGAAUGCGUAGAGAUCCGGAAGAACACCGGUGGCGAAGGCGGCCUGCUGGGAUCUUGCUGACGCUGAGGCGCGACAGCGUGGGGAGCAAACAGGAUUAGAUACCCCGGUAGUCC
rnacentral:rRNA from 1 species